rnacentral:lncRNA from 1 species
CACUACUGAAUGGGACCCAGUUGUCAGGUUCUAAUAAGUGGGUCCCAGUUGUCACUGUUAUAUUCUUCAUAUCUCAAUUUUCUAGUAAAUAAAUAACAAUAUUUAACUCUAAAUAGAGAGAAAACAAAAUGCUUCAAACAGAGCAUGACUAAUCUGGAAAAAUAUGGUUCACAUCAUGAAUACAAUCAGAAAGAGCCAAACUUGGCACAUUAUUACAAUCAAACAUGGUUCACAUCAGGUUUACAAUAAAAGAAUGUUCACAUCAGGUAACACAGCUAUCACAGUAUAACUAGCUCCAAUGCUUCUCCCAACUUGUUCAUCCUGGACCUCACGACAAAACAUGAACGAAGGUCAGCAUCUACAAGUUAUCAAGCAAAAUGGUUAGAACAAGCAAAAUGCGAUAAUUUUAUCAUUUAAGCAUAGAAGAACCGGGUCAACAACAUUUCAAUGUUUGAAAAAUGAACCAGGUUUUCAAUCUUUGAACAGCAAAAAAUUGAUACAAUAGAUCAUUUGCGCUUUAAAUCAACCCCUAAGGAGAGACACGUUGACACAUUCAUUUGGCAACAUCUAUAGAAAUUGAACCUCAUAGACAUGCAAUGUGGAAUUUGUAUCUCAAAGAAGUAUACAUACUUAUCAGGUUUAAUUAGCACAUAAACAUGCAAUGUGGAAUUUGUAUCUCAAAGAAGUAUACAUACUUAUCAGGUUUAAUUAGCACAUAAACAUGCAAUGUGGAAUUUGUAUCUCAAAGAAGUAUACAUACUUAUCAGGUUUAAUUAGCACAGAGAAGCCAAAUGCUAGUAACUCAUGAUUAGUACACAAGAUAGGAUUCAGCAAAGUAAACAAGAAGGUCGCUACAGUACAAAAGUAAGCUCAUCACACAGAAUAAAUGAGUGGAACUACAGUGCAUCCUCUGAAUUGUCAUGUUCACAGGACUAAAAGUAAGCGCAGCAUAAGCAUAUGAGUUUUGUUUGGCACCACCACAUAUAACAUAGCAAUGCCAACGUGAAAAGUUUCCGCAUUAUUGCCAUAUGUUUCCUCGGAAUCAUACUACACAGAGAAGGGUUCAGCCUCAAGUCUUAACUAGCCUUACAUGGUGGAGUACAGAUUUCCUUCUGUACCAGUGGACGUUGAUGGUGUUAUCUCCUUUGUCACAGGAGGACCCCACAUGCAGUGGCUACAUAAACAAGAAGCAUCAGCUUAAGUUGCAACCCGCAACAGAAACACUUGCAAAAAUCGGGCACUUGGGUGUUUGGCAGGAGUACUACCUUGUGGAUGUCGCCCAUGAAGUGUGAGAGGAACAAGAGUGCUUCCAUGAUUUUAUAGUACGGUGCAAGAUAGCUAUCAUCAUUAAACAAUUCAAGAUUUAAGAAUUCAAAACAUGUGA